AAAGAAAGCGUAAUAGCUCACUAGUCGAAUCGGCCUGCGCGGAAGAUAUAACGGGGCUCAAACUAUACACCGAAGCUACGGACGCAUGCUUGCAUGCGUGGUAGAGGAGCGUUCUGUAGGCCGUUGAAGGGAAAGCUGAGAGGCAUCCUGGAGGUAUCAGAAGUGCGAAUGCUGACAUGAGUAACGAUAAGGGGAGUGAAAAGCUCCCCCGCCGGAAGACCAAGGUUUCCUAUCCAAUGCUAAUCAGGGUAGGGUGAGUCGGCCCCUAAGGCGAGGCUGAAGAGCGUAGUCGAUGGGAAGCAGGUUAAUAUUCCUGCACCACUCAAUAUUGCGAAGGAGGGACGGAGAAGGCUAGUCCAGCGCGGCGUUGGUUGUCCGCGUUUAAGCGUGUAGGCUUAAAUCUUAGGUAAAUCCGGGAUUUUUUAAGGCUGAGGCGUGAUGACGAGGUCCAUUAGGACUGAAGUGGUUGAUGCCAUGCUUCCAGGAAAAGCUUCUAAGCUAUAGAUAUUGAGUGACCGUACCCCAAACCGACACAGGUGGUCAGGUAGAGAAUACCAAGGCGCUUGAGAGAACUCGGGUGAAGGAACUAGGCAAAAUGGUACCGUAACUUCGGGAGAAGGUACGCCGCUGAUGGUGAUGGGACUUGCUCCCUAAGCUGUUGGCGGCCGAAGAUACCAGGUGGCUGCGACUGUUUAUUAAAAACACAGCACUGUGCAAACACGAAAGUGGACGUAUACGGUGUGACGCCUGCCCGGUGCCGGAAGGUUAAUUGAUGGGGUUAGCUUCGGCGAAGCUCUUGAUCGAAGCCCCGGUAAACGGCGGCCGUAACUAUAACGGUCCUAAGGUAGCGAAAUUCCUUGUCGGGUAAGUUCCGACCUGCACGAAUGGCGUAACGACGGCCACACUGUCUCCACCCGAGACUCAGUGAAAUUGAAAUCGCUGUUAAGAUGCAGUGUAUCCGCGGCUAGACGGAAAGACCCCGUGAACCUUUACUAUAGCUUCACAGUGAACUUUGAACCUAUUUGUGUAGGAUAGGUGGGAGGCUUUGAAACUGGGACGCUAGUCUCAGUGGAGCCAAACUUGAAAUACCACCCUGGUAUGUUUGAGGUUCUAACUCAGGUCCGUAAUCCGGAUCGAGGACACUGUGUGGUGGGUAGUUUGACUGGGGCGGUCUCCUCCCAAAGAGUAACGGAGGAGCACGAAGGUAUGCUAAUCAUGGUCGGAAAUCAUGAGGUUAGUGCAAUGGCAUAAGCAUGCUUAACUGCGAGACAGACACGUCGAGCAGAUACGAAAGUAGGUCAUAGUGAUCCGGUGGUUCUGAAUGGAAGGGCCAUCGCUCAACGGAUAAAAGGUACUCCGGGGAUAACAGGCUGAUACCGCCCAAGAGUUCACAUCGACGGCGGUGUUUGGCACCUCGAUGUCGGCUCAUCACAUCCUGGGGCUGAAGCCGGUCCCAAGGGUAUGGCUGUUCGCCAUUUAAAGUGGUACGCGAGCUGGGUUUAGAACGUCGUGAGACAGUUCGGUCCCUAUCUGCCGUGGACGUUUGAGAUUUGAGAAGAGUUGCUCCUAGUACGAGAGGACCGGAGUGAACGAACCUCUGGUGUUCCGGUUGUCACGCCAGUGGCAUUGCCGGGUAGCUACGUUCGGACAGGAUAACCGCUGAAAGCAUCUAAGCGGGAAGCCCCCUUCAAGAUGAGAUCUCACAGGACUUUAAGUCCCUAAAGAGCCGUUCAAGACUAGGACGUUGAUAGGUUGGGUGUGUAAGCACGGUAACGUGUUGAGCUAACCAAUACUAAUUGCUCGUGAGGCUUGACCAU
rnacentral:rRNA from 1 species